AAUUAAACUCCUUAUAAUUUGUUGCCAUAGUCCUAAAAUCAAUAGACAAGAGGAAAUCAGCCAGCACUAAGGAAGACAGUUCUGGCUACUCAGAGAUUUCCCCAGAUUCAGAAUCUCUGAGAUUUGGAGAAGAAACAUACACAUUUAACAACUCAGGGGCGUUAAGACACGUGACUACUUAGUCCUCUUUAAUUCAAAUACAUCAAACUAAACAUAGCUUAGCAGGGGCCCGUGUUCUCUGAUCUUAAGUCCUUGCACCAAUCCUAACAGUAUUUUGCACGUUGUUUGCUAAAUAACUGUUUCAUGGGCACAUGCCUUUAGGCUUUGUAAGAAAACAAAAGCCAACUGUCACGUGACUUUACGGUUCCGGUUUGCACUCUAAUCAUCACUGGGAAGCUUCAGUCAGGGCUGCUUCAUAUAGGCUGCUCGCAUGCAGGACCUUGGGAAGCAAAGGCUGCUCGCAUGCAGGACCUUGGGAAGCAAAGGCUGCUCUCAUGCAGGACCUUGGGAAACCCUUGCUGGACCGGACUGCUGUGAGGACGGGAUCUGUACUUCUGCCUUCAGUUUUUCUUUCUUUCAUAUUCCUUCGUUCCGUUGUUCAUUCGUUCCUUUCUUUUUCUCUUUUCUUUUCUUUUCUCUUCUCUUCUCUUCUCUUCUCUUCUCUUCUCUUCUCUUCUCUUCUCUUCUCUUCUCUUCUCUUCUCUUCUCUUCUCUUCUUUUCUUUUCUUUUCUUUUCUUGAGGCAGAAUUUCUCUGCAUAGCUCUGGCUGUCCUGGAACUCACUCUGUGAACCAAGCUGGCCUCGAACUCACAGAGAUCCCCCUGCCUCUGCCUCCCACAUGCUAGGAAUAAAGGCGUGUACCACCACUGCCCAGCUAGCGCCGGUUUCUCCAGCCUUCGCCCCAUCCUAUGUAUUGCUUGCUAUCCCAUCUUUCUCAUCUGCUCUUUACAAUGUCUACUGUCCUGGCUUAUGUUUACAGCUUUUAUCCUUUCUACCAGCACUGAAUCCCUCAAAAUACUUUGCCUGUACCCACACUUCCUUAUAGCUCAUUGGCUAGCAUCCAAUAACACACGCACUGCUAAGCUAGUCACUGAGAAAGGGGUUUGGAAUUACCCCGAUGGCUGAGAUUAAUCACGGGUGUGAUAUGGCGGUUGGAGAGUCAACCACAACACCUGUUGGCAUCUCCUCUCUUGGGCUGCUUAACUGUUCUUUGUGCCACCCUUUCCUCACUGUAGUGCUUCCAUAUUUCAGCAUUUAUUUGUAGAGGUGCCUGCCUUUCUUCGGUCUUUUCCUGCCCUACACUUUCUCUUUUCUCUUCUUUUCUCUUCUUUUCUCUUCUUUUCUCUUCUUUUCUCUUCUCUUCUCUUCUCUUCUCUUCUCUUCUCUUCUCUUCUCUUCUCUUCUCUUCUCUUCUCCUCUUCUCUUUUUCUUUUCUUUUCUUUCCUUUUUUUGAACCAAAACUUCCUUAAUACAAAGUAUUAAAAUGCAACUGCAUUUCUAAAAUGA
rnacentral:lncRNA from 1 species